rnacentral:rRNA from 1 species
UGGGGAAUAUUGCGCAAUGGGCGAAUGCCUGACGCAGCGACGCCGCGUGUGGGAUGAAGGUCUUCGGAUCGUAAACCACUGUCAGAGGGGACGAAGGCCCGGGGUUAACUGCCACCGGGAUUGACGGUACCCUCGGAGGAAGCACCGGCUAACUCUGUGCCAGCAGCCGCGGUAAUACAGAGGGUGCGAGCGUUGUCCGGAAUCACUGGGCGUAAAGGGCGUGUAGGCGGCUGGGUAAGCCGCGUGUGAAAGCCCGGGGCUCAACCCUGGAACGGCACGCGGGACUGUCCGGCUCGAGCAUGGUAGAGGCGAGUGGAAUUCCUGGUGUAGCGGUGGAAUGCGUAGAGAUCAGGAAGAACACCGGUGGCGAAGGCGGCUCGCUGGGCCAUUGCUGACGCUGAGGCGCGAAAGCGUGGGGAGCAAACAGGAUUAGAUACCCUGGUAGUCCACGCUGUAAACGAUGGGCACUAGGCGUCGGGGGGAGCGACCUUCCCGGUGCCGUCGCUAACGCAAUAAGUGCCCCGCCUGGGGAGUACGGCCGCAAGGUUG